UACGGAGGGGGCUAGCGUUAUUCGGAAUUACUGGGCGUAAAGCGCACGUAGGCGGCUUUGUAAGUCAGAGGUGAAAGCCCGGAGCUCAACUCCGGAAUUGCCUUUGAGACUGCAUCGCUUGAAUCCAGGAGAGGUGAGUGGAAUUCCGAGUGUAGAGGUGAAAUUCGUAGAUAUUCGGAAGAACACCAGUGGCGAAGGCGGCUCACUGGACUGGUAUUGACGCUGAGGUGCGAAAGCAUGGGGAGCGAACAGG
rnacentral:rRNA from 1 species